CUGGAGAGUUUGGCGAGCUCUAAUCCUCAGAAAGAGGAAACUUGCUACUGAGAGCAUCAGUGCAACUGAGAAACCAGUCUUAUGAGAAAGAAAAAACCACAACAAUGCAGAGCGUCCAAAUCUCCUUUAAAGGUACUGGGAAGAGCUUGAGGCAAGACAGCGGGUGAGAUGGAUCAUUGAGCUGAUCAGAUAUGGCAAUUCCUGUGUUUUUUAUGUGCUCAAGGACGACGUAGUUUUAACCAAGCAUAAACAUUUUACAGCUGGCUGAUACAAAUCUGUUUUAUUUGUUUUGGAGUUAGGGAAGAAAAUGUGUUUCUCAGAGGUUUUGAGGAGAGCCUGUAGUAUGGACACAUAAGGUGAUGAUGGAUUUAUAUUCAUCUGAUAACUUGUAGCAGGCAUUUCAUUGAGUAACAGAGCUCAGAACAUGAUAAUACUUUCUAAAGAUGGAUAAGAAUGUGUGUUACUUCUGAUUUUCACAAGAAUUGCCAUGAUGAAACACGUCACUGUCCUGUAGAGCUCACUUCGAAUAUGUGGUUGAAGUCUCUUAGGUACAUUAUUUCACCUGACUUCCAAUAUUGUUAGACACCUCCUUACUAGAUACCACAAUUUCGUUUAUCCUUCAGUUACAAUUUCUUCUGCAUAACAAAGUGAAAUAUUUUCCUCUAGUAAUUCUAUUAAUUAAAUGUUGUUUCCUCAAAGAUUUCUCAGAUUUUAGAAGAACUUUUGGAAACUGUUUCAGUAAGAAAUACUAUAUUUUCAUAUCUGCAAUUCUUUGAGCCCUAAUGAUCUAGUCCUAGUGAAACACGCAUAAUGAAUCACAUGCAUGGUUUGAUUGUUUUCCUUUAGUACUGUUUUUGAUUUGUUGUUACAAAACUCAUUGCUUUAGCUGUGAUCUCUUUUCCAUGGCAAGAUGCUAACUAUAAAAUGAGAAGGUAGAAACAGGAGUCUGUUGAUGGAUUAAACUAUAAAUGCAAGUGAUAGCAACACUUUUAACAAAAAGCCUGUUAACUACCCUUUAAAUGUAAUCCCGGCAGUUUGUAGAGUCAGAAAUUCAGAGAGAAGAGUGUUCUGCAGCCAGAGGGGAUGUAGAAACAAACUAACUGUGACAGAGACCUGAUGCAAAUAGGUGUGACCUGGAGGUGAGGAGCUCACUGGUACAAAGUCUGGUCAAGCCCUGGAGAUGACAGCCUCUGUCCACCAGCUUGCAAAAGGGGUUACAUGCCAAGGGCCUCUUCCACAACUUCUGCUGAAAAACUCUAUCAGAGAUGGCAAAAGCAGACUUUUUAGAUUUCACGUGGAUUAACAUUUGUUACAUAAUGUGCCCAUGCUUUAUGUUUUCUAAAGGGUUAUGAAAGAAAAGCAUUUGACUUCCUUGAGUUUCCAGUGAUGUUCACAUCCCUCUGGGCUGUUUGAAAUGCUUGAUUGAGAUCAUAUGGUGUGCUUACAGAUGUGGUAUGUUUAUUCAGUAGUGUGUAUGUAUUUAAAGUCAAUUUGUGUACGUUGCAGUUUGUAGAAAUGUAUGUAAAAAUAUCUAGAAAUAUAUAAAUGUGUUUAUAUAAAACUAGAUCACUGUGGAUCUCCCAAGGACAAAUGCCUCAUUUUGACACAUUAUGCUGAGGUACUUCUGUUGUGACAUGGUGUUAGCCUUCAUGUCACUGUUGCUUAUCAUCUUUUGCGCUCAGUCCACCUUCCAGCUAAACUGGAAGGAAGUAUUGAGUUUGAGGUACCAUAAAUGCUAGAUGUCUGUGGGAUGACAUUUUAUAUGUGCUAUUUUAUUUUCAAAUUUCCUAUAAGCUGUUUCAGCUGCUGAUUUUCAUUGACUUCACCGUUGCUAAUCUGGCAAACAAAGUGCAAUAAGCAUGUCUGUUUGGUGAUCUUGUUGGUGAAGUGCUGAGAAAAAGUGCUGUUAUUUUGUAAAGAAUGUUGUUUCUGUGUUUUCUUUUCCCUUGAAAGAUUUCCAUGUUUCAUAUCACCCAUAUUCAACUGCCUUCCAUUGGUGUUUUAUGAAUGGAGAGGAAAAAGCCCAUCAGAACCAAGUUAUAGGGAUGCUUAAGUCCAGUGUCGCAGGCUCUUUCUGAUAAUGCUUCCAAGGGAAUGACAGUAAAAUAAUGGUUUUCAUAUGACCUGUU